CCUCUGGCCGGAAGUGGCGCUUGGGUGGGCAUGAUGAUGUAUGAGGAACUGACGUGUGAGGAACUGACUGGAUUUCUCUUCGCGGGAAAGGAAACAGGAAGUUUGUAAUCAGGGCUGAAGGGGAAGGAGGAGGAAGUGCUCGUCAGGAAAUGCAGUCAGAAAAUGAUGUCAAGUUUGUUGGUGAGACAUGAGGGCAGCAAAUGGAGAAUAUGUUCCUGAAAUGUUCACAGAAGAUGGGAAUGGUUGGCAUUCUUCAGAGCUUUGGAAGGGGAUUUUAAAGACCAUGAAGAUAAUGUGGAGGUUAAGAGGGUUUUACUGUGCGGUUCACCCAGGCCUGGAACUUACUGCAAUCCUGCUGCCCCCGUCUCCCAAGUGCUGGAAUUACAGGCGUGCACCACCUCUCCAGCCAAAGAUUGAAGUCUGCUGUAGAAAAUACCAAUAAUUCAAAACUUUGUGUUCGAUAUAGUUUCCUUUAUUUUCCCUCAAAGAAGAACAUAAUGGGAAGAGAUGUAGAUUGGAAGAUCAGAUAUUGUCCCAGCAUUUCUCAGCAGAGAAAAUACCGUGGCCUAAAAGAUGCAGGCUGGGAAAAGAAUGUUAAAAGAAAAAUCUCAUGGAUCCCAUCCAUAGAGACUGAAGCUUCUAAGGACUUGCAAACUUUUAAAGAGGGGAUAAACUGAAACAAAGUCUCUACCGUGCUAUGGCUGGUAUCUGAAUGUCUCCCUCCCAAGACUCACUCAGGCAUUCACUCAUAGGUGGGGCUUUCAGGAGGUGGUCGGAUCAUGGGUGUGUGAAUAUGCAGUGUGGGUGUAUGCUAAUUGCAUUAGUCCUCCAACCAGUAGGCUUGUAGACAGGAUGAAGUAUAAGGAAGGAAAGCAAGCUACUGCUUCCUCCUGCCUGCCCUGCCAUGGACUGUUUCUCCUCUGCCAUGUGCUACCCUGCCUUGGAGCCAGCUGACUGUGGACUGAAUCUUCUACAAACUGUAACCUAAA